rnacentral:tRNA from 1 species
GCCCCUUUAGCUCAGUGGCCAGAGCAAUCGCCUUGUAAGCGAUAGGUCAACGGUUCGAAUCCGUUAAGGGGCU